rnacentral:rRNA from 1 species
UGGGGAAUAUUGGACGAUGGGGGCAACCCUGAUCCAGCCAUGCCGCGUGUGUGAAGAAGGCCUUUUGGUUGUAAAGCACUUUAAGCAGGGAGGAGAGGCUAAUGGUUAAAUACCCAUUAGAUUAGACGUUACCUGCAGAAUAAGCACCGGCUAACUCUGUGCAGCAGCCGCGGUAAUACAGAGGGUGCGAGCGUUAAUCGGAAUUACUGGGCGUAAAAGCGAGUGUAGGUGGCUCAUUAAGUCACAUGUGAAAUCCCCGGGCUUAACCUGGGAACUGCAUGUGAUACUGGUGGUGCUAGAAUAUGUGAGAGGGAAGUAGAAUUCCCAGGUGUAGCGGUGAAAUGCGUAGAGAUCUGGAGGAAUACCGAUGGCGAAGGCAGCUUCCUGGCAUAAUAUUGACACUGAGAUUCGAAAGCGUGGGUAGCAAACAGGAUUAGAUACCCU